rnacentral:rRNA from 1 species
ACUCCUACGGGAGGCAGCAGUGGGGAAUUCUGCGCAAUGGGGGAAACCCUGACGCAGCAACGCCGCGUGGAGGAUGAAGUCCCUUGGGACGUAAACUCCUUUCGACCCGACGAUUAUGACG